UUGCAGUGUUAACAGAUAAUAUGCAUAUACAGUUUUUACUAUACAUAUGAUCAACGAUAUAGGAGAAAUGUAUUUAAUGACAUGAUUAAAGAAAAGGAAGGAUAAUACAGUAUAGCUCAUAUAUAAGCCGUACUUGCCUGUAAGGCGAGUCCUAAAAAUGGAGUUGCUUUGUUGAACCUUUUAUAAGACGCAGUCUAUGAGAAAUACUUUAAUAUAACUGCUUGUUGAGAUUUUAUCAUUGUGCCAUUCAUGAACAAUAUUUCACCGGUCAAAAUAGUUUCUUUGUUUCAAAGUUUAUCUAUGAUUACUUUUACCCUAUUUGUCUCAUGUUUUUAACUCAAAUUCACCGUGUUUUAAGUAUAGUGUCAUAUGCUACAAAGUUGACAAAAACAGUUAAUGUUUUUUUUGUUAUUUUAUAUUUUUUGUUGUUUUUGUUGACGAUCUUCUGACAUGUUUUAGUGUUAAUGAUUAUUUCUCUUAUCAAUGUACUUUUAUAUUCUUUUGUAUUUUGUCUACAUUUCUUUUGUAGACAUCUAUUUAUGAAAAAAAUAAAGCUAUUUUGAUAACACUUCUAUUUUCUUCAAUUUCUGCUGGAAUUUGAACUAAAAUGAGUCACAGUGGUUAAAGUGUUUCAAUGUUACAAUAAUACUUACAGAAGAUGCCAAAGAUGAUUUAAAUAAUAAUUUGGGAUAAUGAUCUAUAAGUUUUUUACAUGAUUAAAACAGUAUUGACAGAAGAGUGAAAGUAUAAAGUUAACCAUUGAUGUAUCAUAUUUGUUGAAAUCCACGCUAAACGCUGGUCUGAAAACAGUAAACAGAAUCUCCUCUCUUUAAAAUCAACAUCUGUGUGACUUUUACCCGAGAAAGCAAACUUUGUGAAGCAUAGGAAUGGAAAUUAAUAGGUUUUGUGAAAGUGAAAUAAACAAGUUAGAGUUAAAGGAUGAUGACAACAACUUGCGGAAUAAAGUUUUAUUAUUUUUGUAGAAAUACUUACAUGAGUUUCAUAGUGGUAGUGCUAAUGGAUUUUUUGCAUUUUGAAGAAACUUUUGACACACUAAAGAAAAGCGGCUGAACGUACAAGUGUCAGGCGCAAAGAGCAGAAUAUGCCAAAUGUUAUCACACCUAUCAAAUGUUAAUAAUUUUGUUACCGGAAUUCACUUGAAAAUAAAUCAUGUGAGAUAUGUUUGAUGUCACUGAUACAUCACGUGUAACUAGGGUAUGUCACUGAUACAUCACGUGUAACUAGGGUAUGUCACUGAUACAUCACGUGUAACUAGGGUAUGUCACUGAUACAUGAUGUGUAACUAGGGUAUGUCACUGAUACAUCACGUGUAACUAGGGUAUGUCACUGAUACAUCACGUGUAACUAGGGUAUGUCACUGAUACAUCACGUGUAACUAGGGUAUGUCACUGAUACAUCACGUGUAACUAGGGUAUGUCACUGAUACAUCACGUGUAACUAGGGUAUGUCACUGAUACAUCACGUGUAACUAGGGUAUGUCACUGAUACAUCAUGUGUAACUAGGGUAUGUCACUGAUACAUCAUGUGUAACUAGGAUAUGUCAGUUAUACCAAUUGGUCCAAUAUUGUUUGUGCAAUACACAAAUGUUAACAUGCAUGCAUGUACGUGUUAUACAGUGUAUUAAAGCUUUAAUUCACCAUCAACAAACGCUAAGACAUCAUGCAUAACUUCUACGUUGUACUGUUAGCUUAAACAACAUGUUCUAUAUCAAUUUGUACUCUAAUCCUGAGUGACAAAAUCUAUAUAUAUGGUAAUAAAUUAUCUAAUAUCUAAUUAUAGGUAAGUAUUUUAUUUAUUUUUCAUGAAUCGCUUUAAAUGCAAUUUCUUGCCCCGUUAAAUAUUAGAAACAGUUCUCCUUAACCCAUAUAUAUCGACCUAUUAAUACAUGUGUAUUUGUUGUCAACAGUAAAUGAAAUUGUAAAUGUUCCUUUAUAACUACAACUAGAUAUUCUGAAUUCAUUUGAAUAAUAAAAACCGACAGUUUGUUUCAAGGUUCAUACCAUUACUGAUUGACACAAAUGUAAGAACACUGCAAAUUUACACUCUGACUGUAGUGAACAGCUGAAUAUGUUUGAUGAAAAAAGUUGUUACAAAAUUCUGCCGUUUAUAAUGACUAAUUCAGCAUAUCUUUUAUCUUCCCUUAAAAUAUAUGAAAACUUUCUUCAUAAUACAAGUAUGUACAUGUAUUACUAUUAGAGUUAACUGCAAAUAAGUCCUAGUAUUUUGUUUUACAUGUUGAAAUAAGAAAUUUAUAUAUCAGAUAUUAUUUUAACGUAAUAUAAACAUGGUUUUAUAUACACAUAUCAGAUUAGUAGGUAUAUUAGUUGAUACUUUUUCUGUAGAUAUUGGUUCCUUAUAUAUUUAUAUGUUGCUAGGAUACAGGCCCAACUUACCAUGUCCUCGAGGAACAUGACAUUGAAGAACAUUCGGAUGACAUUUUCAGGAAGGAACCUGGCGUGUAUGAUGACGACCUUGCUGAACCAGUCUAUCAUGAAAUUGUUGUUUCCACACUUGAGGAGUGGCUAACAACACUCGGUCUGUCGUGCUAUAUUAAUGUGUUUCAUGAUAAUGGUUGGGAAAAUUUAAUGGUGCUUGGGGAAAUGACGGAAGCAGACCUGGACAGAAUGGAAAUCAACAAUCGUUCCCAUAGAUCGUUAAUUUUGUCUUGUAUCGAAGAUUUCAAAUCCUGUUAAGUUAUUUGUUUAGCUUAUUUUGAGAUGCACUUUAAAAAAGUGUCUGGAACUUUUUUUUAUAUGUUUAUACAUUUCUAAAGUUUACUGACAUGUAUGUUGUUAUUGUAGCUAUUAUGUUACUAAAGAGGUAUUAUGAAAAUCUUUAGUAGGUCUUUAUUGAGGAUAUUAUAUUUAGACGAUUAUAAUUGUAUAUGCAGGUUGACUAACAAAGUAUUUUGAUUGUAAAUGAUGACUUAUGAAAGUCACACACUGAUAAUUUGUGAAUUUGAUAUGUGAUUCAAGUGAUCCAUGGUACACGUAUAUAUAUAAACCUAAAUACAUUCUUUAAGACUUGAA